GCUAAAAAUCUAACCCUAAAAAUAAUUUAUUUACACUUACCACCUCCUUUUAUUAAACUAAAACAUUUAUAAGAUCUAGUAAAGGCGAUUGAAGUAUCUAUUGGAGUUAUACAUCUAGUACCGCAAGGGAAUAAUGAAAUAAAAAUGAAAUAGUUAUUAAGCACGAAACAGUAGAGACAUUUCCUCGUACCUUUUGCAUCAUGAUUUAACUAGUCUAAUCAAGCAAAAUGAGCUUUAGUUUGAACCCCCGAAACUAAACGAGCUACUUCAGGGCAGCUUUAUGAGCCAACCCGUCUCUGUUGCAAAAGAGUGGGACGACCCUCAAGUAGCGGUGACAAACCUAACGAGUUUAGUGAUAGCUGGUUACUUAAGAAAAGGAUUUUAGUCCAACCUAAAAUUUUUAUAAUAUAUUUAAAUAAGCAUUAAACUUUAGAGCAAUUCAAAUGAGGUACAGCCUAUUUGAAACAGGAUACAACCUAUAUAAUUGGGUAAUUAAGUUACUAUCUAAUAAAGUAGGCCUAAAAGCAGCCAUCUUUUAAAAAGCGUCAUAGCUUAACUAUGCCUGAACCUAAUCUCAUUAAUUUUAAUAAACCCUUAACCUAUAUUAAGUAAUUCUAUACCCCUAUAGAACAUAUUAUGUUAAAACUAGUAACAAGAAUUAAAAUUUCUCCUAAAUACAAGUGUAAAUCAGACCGGAUCAACCACUGAUUCUUAACACCUAUGAACAAAUAGUAAUAACCAAUCAAGAAAACCUUACUACACAUUAUGUUAAUCUAACACAAGAGUAUUUCAAGACAGAUUAAAAGAAAAAGAAGGAACUCGGCAAACAUUAACCUCGCCUGUUUACCAAAAACAUCGCCUCCUGUAGACAUAUAAGAGGUCCAGCCUGCCCAGUGACUCUGUUCAACGGCCGCGGUAUCCUAACCGUGCGAAGGUAGCGUAAUCACUUGUUCUUUAAAUGAGGACUAGUAUGAAUGGCACCACGAAGGUUAAACUGUCUCCUUUUUCUAAUCAGUGAAACUAAUCUCCCCGUGAAGAAGCGGGAAUAAUCCUAUAAGACGAGAAGACCCUAUGGAGCUUUAAACUUUCAGCAAUUAUCUCACCUUUUAUCAUAACUAACAAAAUUAAUCUUGAUAACCUGACUGCUGGUUUUCGGUUGGGGUGACCGCGGAGUACAACUUAACCUCCACGAUGAAUGGACCCGCUCCUAAACAGAGAGCUACAACUCCAUGUAUCAAAAAAUUGACACCAUUGAUCCAAUAACUUGAUCAACGAACCAAGUUACCCUAGGGAUAACAGCGCAAUCCAUCUCAAGAGUUCAUAUCGACAAAUGGGUUUACGACCUCGAUGUUGGAUCAGGGUAUCCCAGUGGUGCAGCCGCUACUAAUGGUUCGUUUGUUCAACGAUUAAAACCCU
rnacentral:rRNA from 1 species